AGUUAGAGUGACUCCCAGAUCAUCCAUUGCUUUUUUUUUGUCUCGUACAGUUGCGUGCGCUUUGUUAAGUGGAAUUGUCCAUUAAACGCUAUUCCCAUCUCUCAAAACUUUAUUUUAGAAAGAUUGCAAAUCGCUGUGUCACUGCUUUCUGUUAAAGGCGUAAAAUAAUCCCAGAUUGUUACGUUUUAUCUUACGCUCCUCGUACUGCGAAGGGUAUGCGCAUGACGUCACAGCAGGCGGAAGUCACUGUAAUCACACCCACUGAGUAGCAAAAAAGACUUGAGGGGCGGCGUUAGCGUUUGAUUUGAAUGACUCAAAAAACACAUGUAAAAUGGGAAAGAGCUGUCGUGCGAUUGAUUGUACAAAAAGAUUUAACACGAAAUAGGAGCUAUCUUUUUAGAGACUGCCAAAAACUAAAUAAGGAAGUGCGUGGCUCUGUGCGUUAGGACUCCAUUCCUGUGAUCAGAAGGUCAUUGGUUCAAAUUCCUGAGAGAUCUCACCAUUAGGCGUUUCAGUAAGGUACUUAAUGGCAGUUGCUGCAGGGAUUGGCUGACCCAGUUGUACAGGUAUGUUGUUUUGGAUAAAAGUGUCUGCUACCUAAAGUAAAUGUAAACCCUGUUGGUGUGAAGCAACAGGGCUACCUGUACUGACAUGCUUCAUUUUUAAAACCCAAUCACAUGACACAAACUUUAAAAAUGAUACCACUAAUCAGGUCAGUCACUGGAAAAAGAACAUUCUGUAACUGCCCUAUCAACAAUGGUGUCUUCUUAUCUGCCACCCACAGAUUUUCUUAUCGACAUGUCCAAUGUCACCUGAAGUGUCACAUGUUCAUCCAUCAUUUUAGCAUGUGGAAUCAGCACAGGCAGGUCAAUAUGUGUGGCAUCUCUAAAAUCCCUGAUAAUCUGAAAGGCAGAGUUUUAAUUGGGUCAGAAUGGUCUCAACCACACUCCACCCAUUCGCUUUCUUUAACCAUCAUAGGGUAGCCAGACAGGAACUGAGAAGUUCAGCUACAGGACAACUGAUGAUACCCUGAGUGAAAUUUUCAUUGUGGCUGCACUAACAGGCAGGGUUGCCUGCUAUCUGGUGAGAUCUCUGUCAGUUACAUAAUAUAUCUUGAAGAAAUCUAAAUGCAUUUUUGAUUGGUCAGAUGGAGCUUCAGAUAAAGUAAAAGAAUAAAAAGCGCGUGUCCUUAACCUACCCGUAGCUAUUACAUAAUUAUGAUGGUGCAUACCCUUCAGUUAUAAAGGAAUAUCCAGAGAGAGAAUUGCUGAUCAUCCUGAGAUAUCCUGCUGAUUUAGGAAAAGUACUUUUGGUAACAUGAAAUAGGACAGCAAAACUGGGAUUUAUUCUAAAAUUGGAUGCCUUUGCCUUAAUGAUCAUGCAGUUACUCAUAGAUGUUAAAGGAGCUCUAAAUUCCACUAAAAUAUGUUAAGCUAAUGGAGAAAAUCUUAAUAUUUUUUGGAAAAAUUAAUCUCAGACGCAACAAGUUGUCAUGUCCCGAUGGUUCCGAUCCUCCUGUGUGCCACGCCCCCUCAUUUACUUUGUGUGGAAUCCUCUUGUUAGUUGUUUCUAGUUUUGUAAUUGCUGUGCGUUUUUAAGUGUGUUUCUGUGAAUGUUUCCCCAGUCUGGUCAUCGACGUCAAUCCUGCUUGUUGCUUCGUGUUCCCGAGUGUGUUCUCCCCAAAUAAAUCCUUCCUUCCCCCGAAUCCCUGGACUCCUGUGCCUGCUUCCCCGCUCCAUACCAGCGUGUUCAUGACACAAGUGUGUACAUUUUACAUUCCAUAUCACUAAAAUCAUGGAUUGGAUUGGGCAUGAUCUCCUCACUCCUCUUGGAGGGGGACUUGGGGAGGACAGUAACGCAGCUAAAAGACCCCCAGAGUGGAUGAGAUUCGAGUUCCUGACAGCUUUUGAUCUUGUUAGGCUGUUCUGGCUGAUGCACCUAUGGAACUUUGCGUGGAGGUUUGGGGCAGUCCCUUUGGAUUGGCAGACUGGGGUGGUGGCCCCAGUCUUUAAGAACAAAGACCAUGACUUCUGGUUUGGAUAUGGGAUGGGGUAGACAUGUGUUGAAUCUCGUUUUCCAUAUUUUUUACAUUCUUGUUUUUAAAAAACGAUUAGCUCUAUUAUGUUUAAACAUAAUUGUUGUAAACAGCAAACUAUAAAUACAUGGCCUCCAACUCGAGUAAACAAGGCAGAAAAGACACACCUGCUAUCAUCUUGGAGGCUAUAGUCAAUGAACUUUAAAUGGCUUCCACAGUUGACUUCCUGAAGGAGCGCCAUAAGACACUUGCUAUGGAAUUUAAAUCUACUUCUUCAGCUCUUGAAACAAAGCUAGAGUGAAUUCUGUCUACAAUGUCAGACCAGAAACUUAUGGCUCUCGAGUCCAACUUUAACCAACAUGAUAAGCGCAUACUGGCUCUGGAAACCACCUGCGCUACAAUGCUAAGAUGCUAUCUAAAGUUACGGACCUAGAGUCCCAUAACCGUAGCACAAUAUCAGAAUAGUUAGACUUCCGGAAUGUAUUGAAGGCCCUCGUUCUGCGACUUUCUUCGUAGAGCUGCUAGCAGAGGUCAUGGGCGAUAAUGUUUUGCCCUCUCCACCUGAAUUGGAUCAAGCUCACAGAUCACUCAUGGCUAAAUCAAAGCUCGGUGAGAGGCCGAGGGCCGUCAUCAUCUGAGUGCACAGCUACCAGCAGAAGGAAAAGACGUACGAGCCAGGAGAGAUGACAUGCAGUACGCAAGCGGCCCCAUUGCCAUAUAUGAUGAUUAUGCUCUGGAGGUGAUGGAACAAUGAAAGAAAUACCGUGAAUUCCUGGCAGAACUGCACAACCUGGGCCUUAAGCCAGCCUUGCUGUUCCCUGCUAGGCCAACCAUCAUAACAAAAGAGGGAGAUAAGAAAAGAUUUUCUUUGGUGGAAGAUGCCAAAGCCUACAUAGCAGCAGUGUGUGCUCAGCCUUCUCCACCGGUACUGCUAGACAUCUGACUGGCAUCUGCAACGCACUGGCGACUGAGGUCGUGUUGUGAGCAGUUAACACAUACCGAUCAAGCGCCCAUUUCUCAGUGCUGAUCGCACACCGAUUUGCCUCUGAUUCAGGG